CCGGAUUUACUGGGCGUAAAGAGCUCGUAGGCGGUCUGUUAAGUGUGAAGUGAAAUCUCCAGUGCUCAACACGGAAACUGCUUUACAUACUGGCAGACUUGAGGAAAGCAGAGGUAACUGGAAUUCCUGGUGUAGCGGUGAAAUGCGUUGAUGUCAGGAGGAACACCCAUGGCGAAGGCAGGUUACUGGGCUUUAUCUGACGCUGAGGAGCGAAAGCGUGGGUAGCAAACAGGAUUAGAUACCCUGGUAGUCCACGCCCUAAACGAUGUCAACUGGUUGUUGGGGAUUUGUUUCCUCAGUAACGAAGCUAACGCGUGAAGUUGACCGCCUGGGGAGUACGGCCGCAAGGUUAAAACUCAAAGGAAUUGACGGGGACCCGCACAAGCGGUGGAUGAUGUGGUUUAAUUCGAUGCAACGCGAAAAACCUUACCCACCUUUGACAUGUAUGGAAUCCCGAAGAGAUUUGGGAGUGCUCGCAAGAGAGCCAUAACACAGGUGCUGCAUGGCUGUCGUCAGCUCGUGUCGUGAGAUGUUGGGUUAAGUCCCGCAACGAGCGCAACCCUUGCCAUCAGUUGCUACGAAAGGGCACUCUGAUGGGACUGCCGGUGACAAACCGGAGGAAGGUGGGGAUGACGUCAAGUCCUCAUGGCCCUUAUAGGUGGGGCUACACACGUCAUACAAUGGCCGGUACAAAGGGCAGCGAAGCCGCGAGGUGAAGCCAAUCCCAUAAAGCCGGUCGUAGUCCGGAUCGCAGUCUGCAACUCGACUGCGUGAAGUCGGAAUCGCUAGUAAUCGUGGAUCAGCAUGUCACGGUGAUACGUUCCCGGGU
rnacentral:rRNA from 1 species